rnacentral:rRNA from 1 species
UACGGAGGGUGCGAGCGUUAUCCGGAAUUACUGGGUUUAAAGGGUGCGUAGGCGGCUAUGUAAGUCAGGAGUGAAAGUUUGCGGCUCAACCGUAAAAUUGCUUUUGAUACUGCAUGGCUAGAAUUAGGAUGAGGUCAGCGGAAUGUGGCAUGUAGCGGUGAAAUGCAUAGAUAUGCCAUAGAACACCAAUUGCGAAGGCAGCUGGCUAGACCUGGAUUGACGCUGAGGCACGAAAGCGUGGGGAGCGAACAGG